GAACCCUGUACGUAAACAAAGAUUUUCGUGUAAUGGCGAAACACUGGCGCGCGGGAAUUUUUCCGGCUCUCGACUCGUAUUACAAAACGCGUUAUCCGGCGUACAAAACGAAAAUUUGUGUACGUACCUACGUAUAGUUUCUUUUGACGCGCGUUCGCUAACUCGAGGCGGUGCAGCGUAAUAAAACCUUCGAUACGUUCGAUGACGGGA